rnacentral:rRNA from 1 species
CCUACGGGUGGCAGCAGUCGGGAAUAUUGCGCAAUGGAGGAAACUCUGAAGCAGUGACGCCGCGUAUAGGAAGAAGGUUUUAGGAUUGUAAACUAUUGUCGAUAGGGAAGAUAAAAGACUGUACCUAAGGAGGAAGCACCGGCUAACUAUGUUCCAGAAGCCGCGGUAAUACAUAGGGGGCCAGCGUUAUCCGGAAUGAUUGGGUGGAAAGGGUGCGUAGAGGGAAGAACAAGUUGGUUGUGAAAGCCCUCGGCUCAACUGAGGACUUGCAAGCAAAACUAUUCUCCUUGAGUGUCGGAGAGGAAAGUGGAAUUCCUAGUGUAGCGGUGAAAUGCUUAGAUAUUAGGAGGAACGCCAGUGGCGAAGGCGACUUUCUGGACGAUAACUGACGUUGAGGCACGAAAGUGUGGGGAGCAAACAGGAUUAGAUACCCUUGUAGUC